AUGAGUAUCUUGGCCUGGAACUGUCGAGGACUGGGGUUGGACUCGACAGUGGGCGAAUUACGAGACCUGAUACGGUCCCACAACCCAGCGGUGGUGUUUUUAUGUGAAACAAAAAAGAAGACGAGAGCAAUGGAACAGCUCAAGUGGAGUCUAGGUUUCUCUUCGGGUGUAGCAGUCGAUUGCGAGGGCCGCAGCGGUGGUCUAGCCCUAUGGUGGAGAGAUCAUGUGCAAGUAACAGUGAGGCCGUGGUGCCAAUAUUUUAUCGAUGCAGAGGUGGUUUUGGAGGGUAAAACUUGUAGGCUCACUGGAUUCUACGGGGAACCUCGUACGGAGCUUCGGAAAAAGUCAUGGGAUGUGAUACGAUAUCUUCGAGCACAAGCUAAUAACCCCUGGAUUUGUCUUGGUGACUUUAAUGAAGCUUUAUUUCAGACUGAUCAACGGGGAGGUAACCCCAGAAGUUUUUCGCAAAUAGAAGAUUUUCAGGAUUGUUUGGCCGACUGCGGCCUAGCAGAUCUUGGUUUCCCAGGAUACCCUUAUACAUGGGAUAAUAAAAGAUAUGGAUCUCAUAAUAUUCAGGUUCGGUUGGAUCGGGCUACAUGCAAUGACGAGUUUUUAACCAUGUUUCCGGAGACAUCAGUGGAACACAUCCUCACUAAGGAGUCGGAUCACCAAGCCCUCCUGGUGCGUGCGCCGGAGACUGCUCCAAGUCGCACUAGAGGGGGGGGGGGUUCAGGUACGAAGAAGCAUGGACAUGACAUGAUCAAUAUGAAAGCAUGA
rnacentral:rRNA from 1 species